rnacentral:rRNA from 1 species
UAGGGAAUCUUCGGCAAUGGACGAAAGUCUGACCGAGCAACGCCGCGUGAGUGAAGAAGGUUUUCGGAUCGUAAAACUCUGUUGUUAGAGAAGAACAAGGACGUUAGUAACUGAACGUCCCCUGACGGUAUCUAACCAGAAAGCCACGGCUAACUACGUGCCAGCAGCCGCGGUAAUACGUAGGUGGCAAGCGUUGUCCGGAAUUAUUGGGCGUAAAGCGAGCGCAGGCGGUUUGUUAAGUCUGAUGUGAAAGCCCCCGGCUCAACCGGGGAGGGGCAUUGGAAACUGGGAGACUUGAGUGCAGAAGAGGAGAGUGGAAUUCCAUGUGUAGCGGUGAAAUGCGUAGAUAUAUGGAGGAACACCAGUGGCGAAGGCGGCUCUCUGGUCUGUAACUGACGCUGAGGCUCGAAAGCGUGGGGAGCAAACAGG